UACGUAGGGGGCAAGCGUUGUCCGGAUUUAUUGGGCGUAAAGAGCUCGUAGGCGGUUUGGUAAGUCUGGUGUGAAAUCUCCACGCUCAACGUGGAGGGGCCACCCGAUACUGCCAUGACUGGAGUCCGGUAGAGGAGUGUGGAAUUCCCGGUGUAGCGGUGAAAUGCGCAGAUAUCGGGAGGAAUACCAGUGGCGAAGGCGGCUUUCUGGGCCUGUUCUGACGCUGAGGAGCGAAAGCGUGGGGAGCAAACCGGG
rnacentral:rRNA from 1 species